rnacentral:rRNA from 1 species
CCUACGGGAGGCAGCAGUAGGGAAUCUUCCACAAUGGGCGAAAGCCUGAUGGAGCAACGCCGCGUGGGUGAAGAAGGUCUUCGGAUCGUAAAACCCUGUUGUUAGAGAAGAAAGUGCGUGAGAGUAACUGUUCACGUUUCGACGGUAUCUAACCAGAAAGCCACGGCUAACUACGUGCCAGCAGCCGCGGUAAUACGUAGGUGGCAAGCGUUAUCCGGAUUUAUUGGGCGUAAAGGGAACGCAGGCGGUCUUUUAAGUCUGAUGUGAAAGCCUUCGGCUUAACCGGAGAAGUGCAUUGGAGACUGGGAGACGUGAGUGCAGAAGAGGAGAGUGGAACUCCAUGUGUAGCGGUGAAAUGCGUAGAUAUAUGGAAGAACACCAGUGGCGAAGGCGGCUCUCUGGUCUGUAACUGACGCUGAGGUUCGAAAGCGUGGGUAGCAAACAGGAUUAGAUACCCGGGUAGUC